GAUGAACGCUGGCGGCGUGCCUAAUACAUGCAAGUCGAGCGAACAGACGAGGAGCUUGCUCCUCUGACGUUAGCGGCGGACGGGUGAGUAACACGUGGAUAACCUACCUAUAAGACUGGGAUAACUUCGGGAAACCGGAGCUAAUACCGGAUAAUAUCUUGAACCGCAUGGUUCAAUAGUGAAAGACGGUUUUGCUGUCACUUAUAGAUGGAUCUGCGCCGCAUUAGCUAGUUGGUAAGGUAACGGCUUACCAAGGCAACGAUGCGUAGCCGACCUGAGAGGGUGAUCGGCCACACUGGAACUUAGACACGGUCCAGACUCCUACGGGAGGCAGCAGUAGGGAAUCUUCCGCAAUGGGCGAAAGCCUGACGGAGCAACGCCGCGUGAGUGAUGAAGGUCUUCGGAGCGUAAAACUCUGUUAUUAGGGAAGAACAAAUGUGUAAGUAACUAUGCACGUCUUGACGGUACCUAAUCAGAAAGCCACGGCUAACUACGUG
rnacentral:rRNA from 1 species